CAGCAACAGCAGCAAAAGCAGCAUCAUCAUCGACUAGGUUUGUGUCGAAGGUGCAGGAAUGCUUGAUGUAGUUUAUAUAAUUGCCUCGGAAAUCUCUGAUGGAAAAAAUUGGAAAGCGUUCGAUCAUGGGCCAGUCUGCGCCAUUUUGGAGGCAUCUGCGGAGGAGUUUGGUGGCUCCCCAUACGUCCAGUCUCUGGAGCGUGGUGAAGCAUGCAGGGCAAGCCGCCAACCACUCUGGUAAAUGAUUGAUGCGAGAUCCAAAAGUGCCCAACCUCAAGAACUCCAGUGCAGGGAGAUCAGUGACAAUCUCCAGAUCUGAUUUACCACUUAUUCUCAGUUGUUUCACAGAAGGGAAACCUCUGAUGGACUUGAGAGCACACACAUUCCUCAGAUCCAAUGUGGUUAAGCAGGUUGCCUGUCGGAUCAGGCCUUCCGGUAGAGACUUCAACUUGGGACAAUUAUGGAGGACCAAUUCGUCGAGGCGACGCAUAGCAAAACCCUCCGCUACCCAAUCCCACACUUCCAUGUUAGUCAUAUCCCAGAGUUGCAGCUGCCUUAGUUUCGGAAACAACAAAGGAGGAGAAGAAGAAGAAGGGCGCUUUGAAUUCCGUUCCCGUUCAUGACCAGUAGCAGCAGCUUCACACCCAAAAAAUUCCGGUCCGAUGGUGGUCACUGCACGUGCACCUCCUAUUUCAAGAAACUCCAAACUGGGGAGCUUUCCUAGCGGUGGAAGCAGUGGCCAAUAAUCGCAGUUAAUUAGUUCCAAGCGGCUUAUGUUUGGAAGAAGCGAACUGAUGCUUGCAGACGCCAUCCAGCUUGGGUACCGGAGGCCGAAGGAAUUCUGUAAACUGAGCGAAACAACAGAUGAUGGUGGAUGAAGUGCCACAUCCAACACCUUCUCGAUUAUUUCAAUCUGCUCCUCAGUGUGACCAUCGGAUGUCGGUGUAGAUAAGCAAUAUAAAUGUAGAUUCUUCAGUUUUCGAUUACCCUUUAAUCCGCUUGUAUCCCUUCUCGGUUCAGCUUCCAUGUACGUCAUCUCCAACCUAUCAACGGAGAGGUAUCUGAGCUCCUGGAGGCUGCCUAAUUCUUCCAAUGGGCACGAACCAGUAGCCGUGUUCAUCACGAAUCCUACGAGUUCAUUGAGGAGCUUCAACCUUCCUAUUCCACAUGGUAAGCUCUCCAAGUGUGUACCUUUACAGUCGAGUGUCCUUAGAUUGACUAGCCUAUCUAUACCCUGGGGGAUCUGUCUCAACUUGAAACAUCCUUUGAGGAUCAAAAACUGUAAAUUCGUCAGAUUGUAUAUGCUUUCUGGAAGCUCCGUUAUAUGGCUAUGAGACACAUUCAAGUAUCUCAAGUGUAUCAAAUUUCCGAUGUAGUGCGAUAUGCUCUCGAUAUUUGUAUGCAUAAGGUGCAGGACUCGAAGUCGCACGAGAUUCUUCAAGGAAUCAUCUAUAUCCCCCACAAUGCCGUGUGUUCCAUCUACUAACAAUGUCCUCACUGACUCAUGUCUCUUGGUCAAAUUGACGAUAUGCUGGAUGUCCGUGGUUACAGUGGCCCCAAUCGACAACCGACGUAGCUUCAUCAGGGCGGCACCACUUCUCCACUCGUUUUGCACGUCACUAAUGAACAAGCUCUCAUCUCUCGAUAGGAAAUGGCCGAACGAUCGGAGCAGGUCAUGCAUCAUGUAAGACUCAUCGUAGUCCUGACCGUAAGGUUGCGAUUGUAGAAGGCUCCUAUGAAGCAGCUCUCUGUAAUAUUGCUCUCCUGUUUCCUCCAAGCUGACAUCUCCUCGGGCUUCAACAAACCCCUCGGCUAUCCAUAAUCUGACAAUUUCAGGCUCGUGAAACCUAUAGUCUUCGGGGAACAAGACACAGUUGAGAAAGCAUUGCUUGAGAUGCGACGGCAAGUCUUGGUAGCUCAGAUACAGUGCUCCAUGCACACCUUCGGGAAGCCCGGUCCGUGACCAUGCGGCGCUGUGGAGAACUUCCUCCCACGCACUUCUGUUGAGUCCUCUAUCGAGGAGGACCCCUCCGAUGGUCUUGAUGGCCAGGGGAAGCCCUCCGCAUUUCCCAACAAUCUUCAUGCCUGUGUCCUUGAGAUCUUGGGCAUCAAUUUCCUCCUCUGCAUUCAUCGUCGCCUUCUUGCACAGGAGCGUCCAGCCAUCCUCUGGAGGCAGCAGCUUCAUCUCGUGGACGAGGCCCGCCUUCAUUUGCCUCGCGAUCCCUGUGUUUCUGGUGGUCACCAGCACCCUGCUGCCUGCUGCUCCUCCCUGCAAAGGAUUGCGGAGCAAGUCGUCCCAGAUCUGAGCAUCCCAAACAUCAUCCAACACCAGCAAGAACUUGUUCCCUCUAAGGAGACCCGCCACCAUGGGCUCCAGCAGACUCCUGCUCUGUUCCCCACCAUGGCUUCCACCAGCACCUUUAACGAUAUUUCUGAGAAGAUCCGUCUCGCUGAACUCUUGGGACACGCACACCCAGAUGGUGGUGCGGAAGUUGGCUUUGAUUUUACCAUCAUUGAACACCUUCUGAGCGAAGGUGGUCUUUCCAAUGCCGCCGAUCCCCACAAUUGCCAGCACCACCACGUUCUUACUCGGAUCUUGCUUUGUCAGCUGCUCCACCAGUGCCUUGGCGUCCUCCUCCAGUCGCUGGCCAACCAUGUCAGACUCCAUCACCGGGGAAGUUAUGCGACUAACUCGAGGAACCACCCUUGGUUCCGCCGCAGACACAUGGAGUUGCAACUUGGACCCUCGGUCCGAGAUCUCUUUCAGCCGAUCGUUGAGAUCCUUGAUUUUGAUGACCACCUCAUUUCUGAACUUGACCUCGUCGCUUAAGCCAGCAAAGAUGGAAAAUAUGUUGCCUUUGAACCGCUUCCGAGGGGACUCUCCCGGGGUGCACUUCUCGGCCGCGGUCCGCCACUCGUCGAGGACGUCGUCGGCGUCGUACAUGACAUCCUUGAGCUCCAUCAGCCAGUCGUUGACGGCCUUGUCCUCGAUCCGCCGCUUCUCGGCGUCACGAAGGACAGACUGGAUGUUGCGGAGUGUGCUUUGGAGGUUUUGGAUCUUCCCGGGGACGCCCAACCACAAGUCCACCUUCUCCUUGGCCAUGUCGAACAAUGUUACGAGGAGCUUGGAGAUGAAGGGAUUCGGCAUCACGGCCAUAUCUUCUCUCGUCUUUUGCUUUCCUGGUGGAGAUCUUUGUUUCGUAUGAAUGGGACAAAUUGUUAUGAUGUCAAACUUGUGUAGUUUGGAAUUGUCAAGAUAUAUAAUACGUGGAGAAAAUAUAAUUGUUAUGAUGUCAGAGCACCACCGAACUCUCAACAGGAUCUCAUGAACAAAGCAAUAGUAGUAUCUCCUUCGUCAUUGCACAGAAUAACCAAGUCUCAAAUGUAAUUUGAGGACUUAUUCGAGAAUACAGAAAUAAUAAGGAUUAAAAUGGAAAAGGUGAUUGUGCUGAGAGAGUAGAAGAGGAGCAGAAGAGAUAAAAGAAGAAGACGAGUCUUCCGUAAUAAUCUAUUGGUGCAAUAAUAUUCUAUUGUCUUCCGUAAGCCACUUCGGCUUGUGGUCAUUUGGCAGGCCGAAAGAAAGGGUGCUGCUACAUAGUACGAACAAAGUUAAGAGUUUAUCUUUCAUGGCGAAAUCAUUGACCGAUUCUAAAACGUGAUGCAGAAUAAAAUAGCCUUUGAUACCAAUUAAAGGCUCCGACAACAAUGGUAAGACAAAAAAAUGAUUCUGAUAUCAAUCGAUAGAAAGAAGGCAGGCGAUUGACAAAGGGACGAGCGAAUGAUUGAGACGUGGCGGAAGCCAAAGAUAUUGUAAGUACAUCAAGAUUUCUAACACCGUCUUAUUUACUGAUCAACGAUACGCUCCAGUUUGGAAGAACAUAUAGUAGCAUACUUUCUUCUUAGAUAGCCCAAUCACCCUCGUAAGAAACAAGAGAAUGUAGACAUGUGCAGGAAGUAAGUAAGAGCACACAAACAAAACGAAACUGUGGAUGUGAAAGUUAUUACUUUGGUGAUUAAUCUAUGUUUGUCUAUGGAGAAAAACUAGAUUUCAUCUGUUUCUUAUCAUCACAAAAAGCUUUGUUAAGCUGCAUGGGUCUGAAAUAAUAAUUAGAGAAGUUAAUUCUAUCGAGAUCAUCUCAUAAGGAAUCAUAUAAUAAAUAAACUUAUUUUUUAAUGAUCAAUAAUUAUAAUUAAAAUUCAAUGAGAUUUAUAAUGCAAUAAUCAAAUGCUCUAAGUGCCUCCAAAAAGAUGCAAACGAUCGAUCCAAAAUCAAAUUAUUCCGAUUGUUCAUAUCGAAGACCAUCGACAUAAUUACAUAAACUGAGAAUAUUAAUGAUUGAGAAACAGGACACAUCACCAUGAAUAUACCUACUUUUUCUCUUUCGAGCAUCAGAGUAAGAUUUUAUUUAAAAAUAUAUUUAUUUAUUUAUAAUAUAUAAUUGAAGAAAAGGAUAUGAAUAAAUAUUGGAAUGCUUGAGAGUGUUUGAUAAGCAAAAAAACAUUUAUUUUAAAUAUGCAUUGAGUUAAGUGUUGUUUGGUAAAAUUACAUUUCAAAAGUCCAUUAAAAAUAUUUAUGUCUAAUUUAUCCUUCUAAUAUUUUUAAUAUUUAUUCAAAGUGAAUAUAUAUAUUUUUAAUGUUAAAUUAAUAAGUAAAUAUAUAAAAUAAAUGAAUGAAUGUAUAUAAGGCUCAAAUAGAUAAAAAUAAUUAAAUAAAAUAUCAUCUUAUAGAAAAAAUAAAUCAUACUGGUUUCUCACUUGCAAUCUUAUAAUUUUAGAUAAAGUCAUAAGGGCACUUUGGGAUUUUAAAAAAAUUAUAUUAGCAUUCUACAAAUACUAAAAUACUAAUGUUACAUUAAUGUAGCAUCAAUAUUUGAGUAUUUUCAAUACAACAUCUAAAUCAAAUACGUAUAAAAAACACAUAAUCUGAAGGAUAACCUAAGCAUUAUAGGAGCUACAAAGAAAAGAUGAUUGAGCUCGAUGGUAUCUUACCAUCGCUUGAUAGAAUUUUAUAGUUGCAAAAAAACACUAUAUGAAGAUAGAGGGCUAGCGUUCUGAUUGGAUGCUCGACAUAGUAAAUCAUUAUUUAUCGAAACUUUAUAAUCCAACUUAGAGAGAGAGAUUUCCAUUAAUAUGUUUUUAUUCGGGCAUCAAUUUUGAUAAAGGAAAAAAAAUCAAAGUUGAAUAUAUAUAUAUAUAAUUAUAUAAUUAGGACUGUCGUGUAUUGUAUCAUAAGCUUAGAUUGACAUGACUGAAAAGUUUUCCUUUUGCUUUGACAAACUCCUCAGCUAAACAAAAUUGGAUGAGGUCUGUCAUUGAACAAGCCACAAAACAAAAGGCAUAGUUUGAGAUGAGAUGACAAGUCACGCUCUCUUCAUAUAUUGGUGAUUCACGUAAACGUUUACACCUUCUGAAUUUUUUUUGAGAUAGUUUCGUAUAUGAAAUCCUCACAAAUAUUAAAUGGAAAACUAUGUUAGACUCUCAUGUGCAGUACUAUUUCUGAUAAGAGUCAUUUUGAUAUCUGAUAGCUGCAUUUUGAUCAUUCAAAAUCUCAUAAAUAAUUAUAAAACUACAAAAAAAAAGAAAAAAGUAUAAUCCUAAUUCCUUAUGGCAAUCUUUUUUCCGAGCCUACAUUCAAUUGUUUACGCAGAAAAGAAAAGAUGAUCUAUACAUGCUACAGAUACUCUGAUCAAGACAUUUCACUGCCAACAUACGCAGCAUUGAAUUAAUCACCAUAAAAAAAAGAGCUACAGGUAUAAGAAGGUGAGGGAAGUCGAGGAAAUAGACAGACAAUGGACAUUCUGUCCGUAAAGAUUGUACUGAUAUCACCAUAUCAGUAGUGGUAGUAGAAAUAUACAGAUCGGAGGGCACUAAAGUUGCAGUAGCAGUAGCAGUACGUACAUUGCAGGAAUUAUAUGCUACAGAGAGAGAAAGAAAGCCAAAAUAAGUUGUCCAUCAGAUCGAGCUGGUAUCACCAUAUCAUAGGAAUGAGUCGCAACCAACCUCUCGAUCUGUGCUUCUUUUCAAAUGUCUCGGACUUUCCAUGGUCAGCUCCAUUUGCAAUGAUGAUAUUAGACAUGAUUGCAUAUACUACAUCGUGAAUGAUGUCGAUCUCCCUUCCAUAAGCAGGAAGAGAUAAUUGUGAGUUGCCACUCCAAAACCAGAAGACGUUAGAUGGUGGAGACGUGAGCAUGAAAGGUAAGUUACCUCAAAGCUCAUUGAUGUCUUCUUCUUCUUCAGCAGCCGACUAGGUUUGUCUCGAAGGUGCAGGAAUGCUUGAUGUAGUUUAUAUAAUUGCCACCUCGGCCAUCUUUGAUGGAAAAAGAUGGAAAGUGUCUGAUCAUGGGCCAGUCUGCGCCAUUUUGGAGGCAUCUGAGGAGGAGUUGGGUGGUUCCGUAGACGUCCAGUCUCUGGAGUGUGGUGAAGCUUGCAGGGCAAGCCGUCAACCACUCAGGUAAAUGAAUGAUGAGAGAUCCAAAUGUGCCCAACUUCAAGAGCUCCAGUGCAGGGAGAUCAGAAACAAUCUCCAGAUCUGAUUCACCAAUUAUACUCAGUUCUUUCACAGAAGGGAAACCUCUGAUGGACUUGAGAGCACCCACAUC
rnacentral:lncRNA from 1 species